rnacentral:rRNA from 1 species
CCUACGGGAGGCAGCAGUGAGGAAUAUUGGUCAAUGGCCGGAAGGCUGAACCAGCCAUGCCGCGUGAAGGUCAGUGCCCUAUGGGCGUUAAACUUCUUUUGUGCGGGAGCAAUAAUGGUCACGUGUGGCCAGACGAGAGUACCGUACGAAUAAGCAUCGGCUAACUCCGUGCCAGCAGCCGCGGUAAUACGGGGGAUGCAAGCGUUAUCCGGAUUUAUUGGGUUUAAAGGGUGCGUAGGCUGUGGGGUAAGUCAGCGGUGAAAUGCCCCCGCUCAACGGGGUGAAGUGCCAUUGAUACUGCCUGGCUGGAAUGCGGAUGCCGUGGGAGGAAUGUGUGGUGUAGCGGUGAAAUGCAUAGAUAUCACACAGAACACCGAUUGCGAAGGCAUCUCACGAAGCCGCGAUUGACGCUGAUGCACGAAAGCGUGGGUAUCAAACAGGAUUAGAUACCCUGGUAGUC